rnacentral:rRNA from 1 species
UACGUAGGCAGCGAGCGUUGUCCGGAAUUACUGGGCGUAAAGAGCUCGUAGGUGGUUUGUCGCGUUGUUCGUGAAAUCUCACGGCUUAACUGUGAGCGUGCGGGCGAUACGGGCAGACUAGAGUACUGCAGGGGAGACUGGAAUUCCUGGUGUAGCGGUGGAAUGCGCAGAUAUCAGGAGGAACACCGGUGGCGAAGGCGGGUCUCUGGGCAUUAACUGACGCUGAGGAGCGAAAGCAUGGGGAGCGAACAGG